ACGCUGGCGGCAGGCCUAACACAUGCAAGUCGAGCGGUAGAGAGAAGCUUGCUUCUCUUGAGAGCGGCGGACGGGUGAGUAAUGCCUAGGAAUCUGCCUGGUAGUGGGGGAUAACGUUCGGAGACGGACGCUAAUACCGCAUACGUCCUACGGGAGAAAGCAGGGGACCUUCGGGCCUUGCGCUAUCAGAUGAGCCUAGGUCGGAUUAGCUAGUUGGUGAGGUAAUGGCUCACCAAGGCGACGAUCCGUAACUGGUCUGAGAGGAUGAUCAGUCACACUGGAACUGAGACACGGUCCAGACUCCUACGGGAGGCAGCAGUGGGGAAUAUUGGACAAUGGGCGAAAGCCUGAUCCAGCCAUGCCGCGUGUGUGAAGAAGGUCUUCGGAUUGUAAAGCACUUUAAGUUGGGAGGAAGGGCAUUAACCUAAUACGUUAGUGUUUUGACGUUACCGACAGAAUAAGCACCGGCUAACUCUGUGCCAGCAGCCGCGGUAAUACAGAGGGUGCAAGCGUUAAUCGGAAUUACUGGGCGUAAAGCGCGCGUAGGUGGUUUGUUAAGUUGGAUGUGAAAUCCCCGGGCUCAACCUGGGAACUGCAUUCAAAACUGACUGACUAGAGUAUGGUAGAGGGUGGUGGAAUUUCCUGUGUAGCGGUGAAAUGCGUAGAUAUAGGAAGGAACACCAGUGGCGAAGGCGACCACCUGGACUAAUACUGACACUGAGGUGCGAAAGCGUGGGGAGCAAAC
rnacentral:rRNA from 1 species